GUAAGUUGUUAAGGGCACACGGUGGAUGCCUUGGCAUCAGGAGCCGAUGAAGGACGUGUGAAUCUGCGAUAAGCCUCGGGGAGCCGAUAACUGGGCGUGGAUCCGAGGAUUUCCGAAUGGGGAAACCUCGCUCAUCGUUUUGGUGGGUGACCGCUGGUUGAAUGUAUAGGCCAGUUGGGGGGAACGCGGGGAAGUGAAACAUCUCAGUACCCGCAGGAAGAGAAAAUAAUAAUGAUUCUGUUAGUAGUGGCGAGCGAACGCGGAUGAGGCUAAACCUGUGGUGUGUGAUAGCGGUUAGGUGUUGCAUCAUGGGUGUUGUGGGAGUUGUUGUGGUGGUUCUAACUGGUCACCGGCGUAGUGCAUGAUGGUAGGCGAACUGGCUUGGAAUGGUCGACCGUAGUGGGUGAGAGUCCCGUAGUUGAAAGUGUUGUGUGUGCGUUGACAAUGUCCCGAGUAGCACGGGGCUCGUGGAAUCUCGUGUGAAUCUGCCAGGACCACCUGGUAAGUCUAAAUACUUCCUGAUGACCGAUAGUGGAUCAGUACCGUGAGGGAAUGGUGAAAAGUACCCCGGGAGGGGAGUGAAAUAGUACCUGAAACCGUGUGCUUACAAGCCGUUAUAGCCCCCCUUUUGUGUGGGGUGGUGGCGUGCCUUUUGAAGAAUGAGCCUGCGAGUUAGUGUUUUGUCGCGAGGUUAACCCGUGUGGGGUAGUCGUAGCGAAAGCGAGUCUGAAUAGGGCGUUGUAGUGGCAGGAUCUAGACCCGAAGCGGAGUGAUCUAUCCAUGGCCAGGUUGAAGCACGUGUAAGAGCGUGUGGAGGACCGAACCCACCUAGGUUGAAAACUGGGGGGAUGAGCUGUGGAUAGGGGUGAAAGGCCAAUCAAACUCUGUGAUAGCUGGUUCUCCCCGAAAUGCAUUUAGGUGCAGCGUUACAUGUUUCUUGCUGGAGGUAGAGCUACUGGAUGGCCGAUGGGCCCGCGAGGGUUACUGACGUUAGCUAAACUCCGAAUGCCGGUAAGUGAGAGUGUAGCAGUGAGACAGUGGGGGAUAAGCUUCAUUGUCGAGAGGGAAACAGCCCAGACCAUCAACUAAGGCCCCUAAGCGUGUGCUAAGUGGGAAAGGAUGUGGAGUUGCUGAGACAACCAGGAGGUUGGCUUAGAAGCAGCCAUCCUUGAAAGAGUGCGUAAUAGCUCACUGGUCAAGUGAUUCUGCGCCGAUAAUGUAGCGGGGCUCAAGUACACCGCCGAAGUUGUGGCAAUCAGUCUUUGUGGCUGGUUGGGUAGGGGAGCGUCCUGCACGAGGUGAAGCUGCCACGGGAGUGUGUGGUGGAUUGUGUGGGAGUGAGAAUGCAGGCAUGAGUAGCGAAUCACGGGUGAGAAACCCGUGCGCCGGAUGAUCAAGGGUUCCAGGGUCAAGUUAAUCUGCCCUGGGUUAGUCGGGGCCUAAGGCGAGGCCGACAGGCGUAGUCGAUGGAGAACGGGUUGAUAUUCCCGUACCAGUGAAGGACCGUCCAUACUGAUAUUGUGAUGCUAACCAUGCCGAUCACGGUGUCAUGAAGUUUUUCUUUGUGGUGUUGUGGGGUGUGUGGGACCCAAGCUUUGGAGGUAAGCGUGUUAACAGGUGUGACGCAGGAAGGUAGCCAAGCCACGCGGUGGUUGUCGUGGUCUAAGCGUGUAGGAUGACUGGUUGUUAAAUGCGCCGGUUGUGUGUCUGAGACGUGAUGGGACCCCUUGUUUGUGGGGGAUUUGGUGAUCCUAUGCUGCCGAGAAAAGCAUCGGCGUGAGGUUUUAGCUGCCCGUACCCGAAACCGACACAGGUGAUCAGGUAGAGAAUACUAAGGCGAUCGAGAGAAUCAUGGUUAAGGAACUCGGCAAAAUGCCCCCGUAACUUCGGGAGAAGGGGGGCCCUGAGCGUGAUCUGCCCGUGCGGUGGGGAGCGUGUAGGGGUCGCAGAGACCAGGGGGAAGCGACUGUUUAUCAAAAACACAGGUCCGUGCGAAGUCGUAAGACGAGGUAUACGGACUGACUCCUGCCCGGUGCUGGAAGGUUAAGAGGAUUGGUUAGCCCUGUGUGGGCGAAGCUGAGAAUUUAAGCCCCAGUAAACGGCGGUGGUAACUAUAACCAUCCUAAGGUAGCGAAAUUCCUUGUCGGGUAAGUUCCGACCUGCACG
rnacentral:rRNA from 1 species